AACGAACGCUGGCGGCAGGCUUAACACAAGCAAGUCGAGCGCCCCGCAAGGGGAGCGGCAGACGGGUGAGUAACGCGUGGGAACGUACCUUUUGGUUCGGAACAACUCCGGGAAACUGGAGCUAAUACCGGAUAAGCCCUAACGGGGAAAGAUUUAUCGCCGAAAGAUCGGCCCGCGUCUGAUUAGCUAGUUGGUGAGGUAACGGCUCACCAAGGCGACGAUCAGUAGCUGGUCUGAGAGGAUGAUCAGCCACACUGGGACUGAGACACGGCCCAGACUCCUACGGGAGGCAGCAGUGGGGAAUAUUGGACAAUGGGCGCAAGCCUGAUCCAGCCAUGCCGCGUGAGUGAUGAAGGCCUUAGGGUUGUAAAGCUCUUUUGUCCGGGAAGAUAAUGACUGUACCGGAAGAAUAAGCCCCGGCUAACUUCGUG
rnacentral:rRNA from 1 species